UAUCCUGAGUGCAGGAAAAAGACUUCUGCCUUUUGUAUAUUAAGAUUGAUUUUCAGUAUAUGUAUUUUUAUUUUGCAGAGCAUAAGAGGCUCAGAUAAGUGGAAGUGUGCUAGAACACUGCUGUCUGACUUCACCAGACAUUUACAUAAGCCCUAGUCAAGUACCCACUUCUCUCUAACUUUGUCUCACAAAAAACAGAACAAACAUGUUGCUUGUGAAAGGUCAGCCUAAGCAAGAAUGUCUCAUGUUUUUGUUUUAAAAUGCAUUUGACUUUUUUAUUUCUGCAGGAAAAUGGGAAAUAAUUGAUGAAUGAGAAAGAAAAUUUCCCUCAGCUAAGAGAAAAUCCAUGGUGAAUUGCUGAAACUGUUAGUGGACAAAAUAGAUUUGGAAUAGUUCAGCACUGGAACUGGAGGAAAGAGGGUAUGAGGUUCCCUUUGGCAACUAACUGACAGGCAUCUGGCUCUUCUUUGAACUAUGACCAGUGCCACUGGAAUACCUUACAUCUCUGAAGUGCUCAGUGUUCACCCUCUGAUAGUCUGGGAGCUUGAGGCUCAGAUCUCAAUUACGAUAUGUGAACACAAGUGAAUGGGUCUCCU